UAAGGAGGGGGCGAGCGUUAAUCGGAAUUACUGGGCGUAAAGCGCACGUAGGUGGUUGGGUAAGUCGGAUGUGAAAGCCCUGGUCUUAACCUGGGAACUGCAUUGGAUACUGCCCGGCUAGAGUAUGGGAGAGGGAAGCGGAAUUUCCGGUGUAGCGGUGAAAUGCGUAGAUAUCGGAAGGAACAUCAAUGGCGAAGUCAGCUUCCUGGCCCAAUACUGACGCUCAGGUGCGAAAGCGUGGUGAUCAAACAGG
rnacentral:rRNA from 1 species